rnacentral:rRNA from 1 species
AGAGUUUGAUUCUGUCUCAGAACGAACGCUGGCGGCGUGGAUAAGACAUGCAAGUCGAACGGGACAUUUUGGUAGCAAUAUCUGAAUGUUCAGUGGCGAACGGGUGCGUAACACGUGGAUACCUUCCGGAAAGUGAGAAAUAGCCCAGGGAAACUUGGAUUAAUAUCUCAUGUGAUCGCAAGAUCAAAGGCGCAAGCCGCUUUCUGAUGGGUCUGCGGCCUAUCAGCUUGUUGGUGAGGUAAAAGCUCACCAAGGCGACGACGGGUAGCUGGUCUGAGAGGACGAUCAGCCACACUGGAACUGAGACACGGUCCAGACACCUACGGGUGGCAGCAGUCGAGAAUCUUUCACAAUGGGCGAAAGCCUGAUGGAGCGACGCCGCGUGGAGGUUAAGGUCUUCGGAUUGUAAACUCCUGUCAUGCGAGAACAAAGCCCGCAAGGGUCUGAUAGUAUCGCAAGAGGAAGAGACGGCUAACUCUGUGCCAGCAGCCGCGGUAAUACAGAGGUCUCAAGCGUUGUUCGGAAUUACUGGGCGUAAAGGGUGCGCAGGCUGCGUUGAAAGUCAGAUGUGCAAUUCAGGGGCUCAACCUCUGGACUGCAUCCGAUACUACAAUGCUAGAGUCAUGGAGGGGGAUCUGGAAUUCCCGGUGUAGCAGUGAAAUGCGUAGAUAUCGAGAGGAACACCAACGGCGAAGGCAAGAUCCUGGACAUGUACUGACGCUCAUGCACGAAGGCUCGGGUAGCAAACGGGAUUAGAUACCCCGGUAGUCCAAGCAGUAAACGGUGCACGUUUGGUAUGAGGGGCAACCCCCCUUGUGCCGUAGUUAACGCGAUAAACGUGCCGCCUGGGUAGUACGAUCGCAAGGUUAAAACUCAAAGAAAUUGACGGGGACCCGCACAAGCGGUGGAGUAUGUGGCUUAAUUCGAUGCAACGCGAAGAACCUUACCUGGGCUUGACAUGAGAUUUGUCUCCGGUGAAAGCCGGAUAGUGCAGAAAUGCACGGGUCCCACAGGUGCUGCAUGGCUGUCGUCAGCUCGUGUCUGAGAUGUUGGGUUAAGUCCCGCAACGAGCGCAACCCCUGUAAUUUGUUGCCACCGGAUUCUUCCGAGCACUCAAAUUAGACUGCCCAGAUCAACUGGGAGGAAGGUGGGGAUGACGUCAAGUCCGUAUGGCCCUUACGCCCAGGGCUGCACACGUACUACAAUGGCCAGUACAAUAUGAACCUUCUUCGCAAGGAGUGGGAAAUCGAUAAAACUGGUCUCAGUUCAGAUUGCAGGCUGCAACUCGCCUGCAUGAAGUCGGAAUCGCUAGUAAUGACGCAUCAGCUACGGCGUCGUGAAUACGUUCCCGGGUCUUGUACACACCGCCCGUCACAUCAUGGAAGCUGGCGUUGCCCAAAGCAUUUGGAAGACUUGUCUCCAUAUUCAAAGGCAAAGCUGGCAACUGGGAUGAAGUCGUAACAAGGUA